rnacentral:lncRNA from 1 species
CGCCACACCGCCGCCCACCACCGCCUAUCGCUCACCGCCGCCACCGUCACCGGUAAACUUAAUUUCUGCAUCAGUUUAAGAUGCUUCAAUAGCAUAAGAAAAAAGCUUCUUCUUUGAAGGGUUCCUAAUUAAUUGGGUUUGUUCUUCUUUUCUAUUUGCUGAUUCGAUUUGUUAACUUAAUUGAUUUGAAUAUUCCAUGAAUCAGGUGAUAAGAUCUUCAAUUUCCUUUUUGCAUAUUUGUUUUGCUUGUGCUAAUUGUGAGCCUUGUGCUGAAUAUUAGGUUUUUAGGUUGAAAGGCAUUCUCUGUAUCAAAGUUAUCAUUUAUUUUUUAUUUUUUUAAUGAGAUUCUAGAUUUUUAAAUAUUAGGUUCACUGAAGUUAAAUAGUUAGGUUAUAUUCUAUGUUUUUAGGUUGAAUUGCUCUAUUCUUUGUUAUACUGAAGCUAAACUGCAUCUUUCACACGAUUCAUAGGUAACCAUUGGAAAUUUCUGAUACGGUUUUAAAGAUAUGUGUUAGAUCCACGAACCUAAAAUGUUGAUACUGCAAAGUUACUAUACAUACCUAUUUUUAAGAAGAAAUUCUUCUGUGUGUGGAUGCAACUGUAUGUUAAUCGAUAUUUGUCGGUCGACGAUAAUUUAGUAACAUGUAGUAACAUAUGCACGUGAUUGCGUAUUUCGAUUUAUAUUUAUUGGUUAUGAGUUGAUUUAUAAUAUAAAUAUUUAAAUUGAACCUGUUUUUUUUCAACAGGUUUUGGUGUUUGAACACCUUCUAUGCACUAAGCUUUUGCCGAGAGGACAUGUUGUUCGUCAGUUCGAAACAGUUGUCGAUUAGAUCGAAGUUACUGUCGUGUCGUGUUGAAAAGUAGGAUUUGAAGCCAUAAAUACAAACUAUACUAUAUACUCUUAUAGUCACAUGUGGUCAUAUACAUGUAGUCAUAUAUAGUCACAUGUAGUCAUGUACAUGUAGUCAUGUACAUGUAGUCAUAUAUAAUCAUAUGUAGUCAUAUACAAGUAGUCAUAUAUAGUCACAUGUUGUCAUAUAGAUGUAGUCAUAUAUAGUCACGUGUAUUAAUAUAUAGUCACAUGUAGUCAUGCACAUGUAGUCGUAUAUAAUCAUAUGUAGUCAUAUAUAGUCACAUGUUGUCAUAUAUAUGUAGUCAU